rnacentral:lncRNA from 1 species
UGAUACCACUGACAUUGUAGGAGGCUGAGAAGCUACCCACGGUUGUUUACAGCGCAUAGUGAGCUGGGGAUCUGGGAUCUGGUGAUGCUUUGUGGGAAACUCUCUCUCUAAGAGAAAGCCUAAAUACAUGGCAUCUUCUUGUUUUGUUCCUCUGGUCAUGGGUAGAGCUAUGCCAACUCCCUGGAAAUUUGAGAGGAUCCAGCCUUGAUGGACUGAAAGCUGAGCUUUGGAUACCUCUGGCUUUUGUCAAGUUGGAAAACAACAAUGACGACGACAACAACAACGACAACGACAAUGACAACAACAACAACAAAGCAGGAUAAGGGCCUUUAACAUCCUAGGGGAUAUAUGUUAACCACACAUACAGUAAAGAAAGGAAGACUGAAAUGGGGGUAUCUAAGUUAGUCUUUUCCAAUCUGGAGAAUUCUUGCUCAGUUUAGAGAAGUGCAGACUGCCUUUGUAGGCCAACUUCCACUUCCAAUGAGAGCCAUGAGGCUCUCUAGAGUCUUAGGUCUACUGUAGCAUGAUUCCCUGGACUCUUGAGCAGUUGGAGGUCUUCUGAUCUCAGGAGUUGUCAUGCAACGGUAUUCCUGCUAAGGUAAGAUGUUUGUCAAUACUUAAAUACUUCCCACCAUAAUAGUGCCUUCCCUCAGUCACCUACUUUAUGACAAUGAAAGGAAAUGACCUACUACUCUAUGCUCUGUCCCAGGGCAGAGGUUCUGUUCCACUUCUUACCUAUGCCUCUCAUUCCUCCUCCUAUUC